GUCCCUGUAGCGCAAUGGAUAGCGUGCUGCACUUCUCCGUCGUGGGUUCGAAUCCCAUCUGGGAUG
rnacentral:tRNA from 1 species